CAGUAAUUAAAUAAGGAACCUAGCAAAAUAAUCACCUUGAAGGGUUAAUUUUGCUUAGGAUUCCUUUUUUCCCUUCUUUUCUAAUGUGAGUUAAAAUAUCUACAGAAUUUUUUGAAGUCCUGGCAACUUAUUUUGAAAAUAUAUAUGAGAAGGCUGCCCUCUUGUGUCAAUGUAAUUUACAUUUUAUCAGUCAUUCCAGUUUUAAGUAGUCUCUAUUCAGGGUGAAAAGGAUAAAACAAAAUCAAUAUUUUUGAACGUUUAUAUGACUGUGUCAUUAGAAAUAAAUUAUAAGGGGAAGUGAGCAAUCUAAUAUUGCUUUAUUUUUUCUUCUCUCUUCUUUGUUCAAUUGGUAGCUCUUGUAACAUGAAACUUUUUUUUCUUCAAGUUCUCUUCCUAUUAUAAAAAUGUGCCAACCCCAGUUCCAGUGGUAUUGACACAUAAUACUUUAAAAGGACUAAACAUCCCCAAGUCCUUGAAUAUUUAUAUCUAUGUAAGAAAAGUUUUUCCCCACAGAGAGACCUUCAAUGGUAUAGCCUUUUAGCAUCCAGAAACCAGGAAAAGGCUAAUCUGGAAUUCAUAUAACAUGACCUCCGGCUCAAGAGCAGGAAGUACUAGAGUUAUAACAGGAUGGUGUAGUUAUUACAGGUGGACAUGCAAAUAUUCUGUCUUAAAUGAACAUGUACAUGAAAGUUAUGGAAUUCAGAAGUGGAGGAGAGACUGACAGAGUUAUCUGUUCUCUCUGGGCUGUUAGGUACAUGAACACCAGAAAUAUCAACAGCAGCUUCAACUGAGAAAUCUUCAGAGGAAGUUUUCUCUAGCUGAAACAAAUGUGAAAGCAGGAAGACUUUGUAGGUCUAAGCAAUUCUACAACAAAUGGUAGAAGCAACAAGGCUAAAAAUACCUUCCCACGUGUGGAGUCCACAUUACCUGACAAAGCUCCCCUUUAAUACAGCAAUAAAGAGCAAGGAAGUGAAAAUGAAGAGGGUUUUCCAGAUUGCAAAGAAAAGCUUUCAACUUUGCAAAUGUCCACACUUUCUAAGACAUUAGCAAUGUUUUGAUUGCCACUUUGGAAAAAAAAAGGGGUAUGUCUUUGUGGACUUUACCCGGAAAUGUGGUAAAUGCUUGUAUCAAAAUAACCCUCCUACAGGAAUGAGUUGAGGUUUACAAUUUAUGUAUCUAUACAGUGAGCAUCGACUAUCUGGUAUUAAAUGGAUAGCACUAGCAUUCUGUCAGAGCUGAAACCAGGAUGCCCUACCCAUCGUCCCAUCUACCCAUCGCUACUCAUUUACAGCUAUGUCUCUUGCAAUAGACUUUGGCAAUGCUAAAUAUUGAGUUCUAUAAUAAUAGUCCUCAUGGCUAGGAAUUGGCUUUUUUCUAAAUUCGCUGAGGGUUUGGUCAGUGCUGGGAUAUUUAUGAGCCUCCUAUUAACUCUUGAACUCUUUCAAAGUUGAGGUACAUCAGAGACUUGGUGGGAAUGAACUCACCUUGAAGGACUUACACCCAUUUUCAGUGAAUUUGUCCUGUGUCAAUUUAGCUGAACUGGAACUACAUUUCCCAGAAUUCUUGUCUCUGUAAUUCCAGUCGGGUUAGGCAUAUGGAAAACUGUAUCUGGAAGGAAAUAUGGAAGCAGCAACAAUUAGGCUUUGAAGUUGCGUGUGGGACAUCAGACACUGUUGCAGCCCACUGCCACACUGUUACUGUUCUGCAGGUUCACGUUCAAGCCCACAGCUCCUCAAUAUCCCAGGGGUCUCCUUGUUCAGUUUUUCUGAGUCCUGGGGCAGGCGUGUGUUUAGUUCUGUGUGAAGCGUCAGCUGCUUCUGCAGUCACUCACAUCAUCCUGGUUGGAAAUUCUAAGAAAUAAACAUAGGUUCCAGUUUGUUCUUGAUCACCCCACUUUCACAUCCCCCCUUUUUUUUUCUCUACUUCUGGCCGUAAUGAUCCAUAGCAACUUCAGGCUGGCUACUGGAUGCAGAGGUAACACUCUUCCAAGACUUCUCCACCAGGUUCAAUGAUAGUGCAAGUUUUAAUCCCUAGAAUAAAUCCCCAUUCCUUAUCACUCAUAGUAGUUCUUCUUCCUUGGUUGCAUCCUACAAAAUCUGGUGCCUGAAAUAGAAAUGCUGUCAUAACAAAAACCUAAAACAACUGCCCCUGGCUUUGGGACAGCAUGGCAGGAACAGGGCAGCUGGCCGAAGCUGGAAGGGUCUUCCCAAGAUGAUUCGUUAAAGUUGAAGAGUCUACAGAAGACAGUGAAAAUUUGAAAAACAGUAAGAAAAUUUUUAUUGGAAAGUUUGGUAACAUAGCUCCCAGUCAUAAUGUGGAAAAUAAAUAUUUAAUGAACUCACUGAUCUAGCUGGAGAAAUUUAUAGACAGAACGUGGAAAAUUCCAACAGACUUCUUUCUAUGAUUAAAUACAAAAUGAAAGGGGGAUGGGAAAAGAAAGAGAAACUAAAGAAAGAAUUGUACCAUUUUCACUUAGACUUUAAGAAUUUAGAGGAAAUACAAAGAAUCCAGGGAUUGUCAGGUUUGAAAAUAAAAUGGUUUUUCAUCCCUAGUUAUUCCCAAAAAAAUUCUCAAAGAAAGAAAUAGCCUCAGCAAAUAUAAAAUCCAAUGCACUGAAAGAAACUCACAGUAAAGACUGUAAAUGUGUGGCUGCUCUAAAUCCCCUUGUUGAGACCUCAAAAAAUGUAAGCGCAUGACUCCUAGGACUCUAAAGGAUCUUAUAGAUGGUGCCCCACAGCAGCCUUACUCUCUGCCUGAGGUAGAAAAGGGCCUGUCUCAGUUAAAAAAAAAAAAAAAAAAAAAAUUUGUGAGUGGUUUAUGCUAAUGGCAUGGAUUUUAAAAGUAAAAUACAAAGGAGUCUUUGGACCUCCCCAACCUACUAUGGACAGAAAGCAGGCUGAGGAGGUCACUUGGUUAAAAUAAAAAUUGAUCAGUGCAUAUAGAUAAGGACCUAAAAAACCAGAACCAAGAGCUAAAAGGCAAUGCCAAGAGCAGAGGUGAAUCAUUCCCAGGGAGCAAAACCGUCCCUGACCCUAGAUUUCAGUAACCGCUGUACCUCUCAUUCCCUCCUUAUUUGAACUGAGUUUCCUACUGCUUUUAUUUUAUCUCACCAUUGUGUGGUGGUAGGAAAACGUGUCUCUUUAGUUCAUAGCUCAUCAGAUAGAGAGGAAUCAAGCCCCAAGAGCAAGGAGGCUCGUCCACACCUGGCACCUGGCCUAAGCGUGUUGCUGUAGUGCAGUGAGAACUCAGAGGGGUCAUGGGAAGGGUUGAAUGUAUUUUCUGUGUAGUCAAAGGGCAGGCAAGCUACCACGCUGAUUGAAUCUGAGUGGACUCUUUGACUUCUUUGCAAAUAGAAUGUGGCUAAAAUGAUGAGACGCUAGAUUCUGGGUCCAACUCUUAACAGACUAACAUUUCCAUUUCCUGUAUCUUGAAUAUUCACCUUUGGAGUCUUGAGUCUCCAUGUAAGAAGUUCAGCUGGAGGAACCAUGUGGAGAGGCCCUGAGACUGCAUGGAGAGAUAGAAGAGCAGAGUUGAACCCAGUCUUCCAUCAAUCUGUGCUAAGGCAGGCAUAUACUUGACAUAUUUGAUUGUUUUGAAGACCAGCAGGAGAAAAGCCAAGGUUACAGCUCUGCUCCAAGAAAUAAGGAGUCCUCUCUACAUUCCCUCUCAGGCAGGGAGCCCACCUGAGUUGUAUCAAAGGACAAUGAACAAUGUGACAAUGAACAGCUUUCUUUCAAAAGAUAUUUUUAAUCACGCAAGUGUCUAUAAAGGUAUUUGGCUGAGAUCUGAUCAUUGAGACUAAAACAUAGUAUUCUGGCCCACAGAAUUUUAUAGAUGGGUAGUAAAUCCAGUUGCCAGUACCAUUAAACAAAACAAAAACAACAAACACGUCAAUAUGGUUCCUUGAAGCCUUCUAAUUUUCAUUAUUUCUUGUGUUACACAAAAUAAGAUUAACUACUAUGAAAUGUGGCCGAGUGAAUUACCCUAUUGGAAGAUAUCUUUUUUUGAUAUUGUUCAUUGACAGAUCAUUUAUUAUCAGAGAUGCCAUAUUUUGGCAAAUUAUGUGGAGAAAUAAUAUCUUCGUAAUUAUUACUCAAUAACUUAAAUGAGUUACAAAGUAAAGUUAUAUAAAGACUAUGCUGAAUACUGGUUUGGUCUGUUGCAAGCAAAAUGUUUAAAGAUGAGUUGAUCUGAACAGCUGACACCUGAGUUCUUUUUAGGUGUGAGAAGUCUGUGUUUAGGAAAACACCUUGAGAAGCCACUAGAGGGCAAUAGUUAGCAGGAAGUUGGGAAAAUAAAAUGUGUCAGAACUGUGUUAAUGUAAAAUAAAAUAUAAAAUACAAAAUAAAAUGUGUCAGAAUAGGAUGGUGUGGGAGAGAGCUGAUUAAAAUGCCGUGAGACUGGACCCUUUGUUGGUGGAAAGCACCAUGAGAUAAUGUUUAAUGUUCAAUUUCAAAUUCUUACUUUGCAGUCUAGGUCAACCUAGGUCAUCUGUCCAGAACAUCAGUAAAGUCAGAUAUGCCAGAUAAGGCCUUCAGUAAAGUGUGUGUGUGUGUGUGUGUGUGUGUGUGUGUGUGUGUAGAAAAUAAGGAAAACUCUGAGUUCACUGUUUGAGUUAACAAGUUGUGGAGAAGUGGCAAUAAAUUAUUUGUUCUAAUUUAGUUAAAGUAGGAGUUUGAAAGUAAAGAUGACACUGACUAAGACUAUGCUGGGUAUUCCCAGAAGUCUUAGGGAGCCCCUUGAAUAUUUCAUAAGAUGUGGAUUUGGGAUUUGAAUCAAUCUUACAAUCUUAAGUAGCAGGAUAAGUUUAGUUAUCACAGAAGAUUUUAGAUUAACAUGCAUACACACACACAGACGUGUACACACACCACAGUUAUUAAGAAAAAGAUUAGCACAGGGCUUUUAAGGGUUAUUGGUUCAUGGUGGCAGAUAAAACAGUCUCAGCAGCCAAGUAGACGCUCCUUAUUACUAGAAAUUUAUUUCUAUAUCUAUCAUGUUUAUCUCUAUCUCUAAAUGUAUCUGUAUCUAUCUGCCAAAAAAUCGGGGAGAUAUAUAUAUAUAUGAGAUGUAUCAUAUAUAUAUCAGGGGUUGGUAAACUAUGAACCACAGGCCACAUUCAGCUUGCUGCUUAUUUGUUAAAUAAACUUUUAUUGUAAUAAUA